ACUAUAGUUAAAUAAUGGCGAUGUUUAACAAACUCUUUGCUGUUGUUUUGCUUAUGAUGAUCUCCGUUAGCUCAGGCGGGGCCAAACCAAUGUUAUGUGUGCGCUUACACUUCUAUUUUCCAAAACAACUAAAGAUGCUUUGGUUUAACAAUUCCAUGCUGGAGAUUGCCUCUCGUUGAAAUUCACUACUCAUAACGGAACAGAUGUCGUUAUAAAGGGAUGUGACGAUUUAUCAACUGAUGGAUUUUGUUCAAAUGGUAGAAUCCUUGCCAAAGAUUGGCUGAUAAAUGGAAUUUAAAAUCGUGUACUGGUUCAUGUUGUAAAUCUGAUCUCUGUAACAGAAGGAGCAAAACAUACACCAGUGAAAGCAUUUUGGGUUCUCUUUGUCAUUGUCCUUGUUUUUCUUGUAUUGAACACCAGUUUUGAAUAUACUUAGUAUCGUGAUUAACAAUAUUUGGCAACUUUUUGUAUCUCAGUAAUAUGAAAGUUGUAUUACAAAUUUUCAUUAUGAAUCUUGAAAGACAUAUUGUGUUAAUAAAUGAGUUAAUUUCUUGUUGUUUAAA